rnacentral:rRNA from 1 species
GGCUCAGAACGAACGCUGGCGGCAGGCUUAACACAUGCAAGUCGAACGCAUCCUUCGGGGUGAGUGGCAGACGGGUGAGUAACGCGUGGGAACGUGCCCUUCAGUUCGGAAUAACCCAGGGAAACUUGGGCUAAUACCGGAUACGUGCGAGAGCAGAAAGAUUUAUCGCUGAAGGAUCGGCCCGCGUCUGAUUAGCUAGUUGGUGAGGUAAUGGCUCACCAAGGCGACGAUCAGUAGCUGGUCUGAGAGGAUGAUCAGCCACAUUGGGACUGAGACACGGCCCAAACUCCUACGGGAGGCAGCAGUGGGGAAUAUUGGACAAUGGGCGCAAGCCUGAUCCAGCCAUGCCGCGUGAGUGAUGAAGGCCUUAGGGUUGUAAAGCUCUUUCGUCCGGGACGAUAAUGACGGUACCGGAAGAAGAAGCCCCGGCUAACUUCGUGCCAGCAGCCGCGGUAAUACGAAGGGGGCUAGCGUUGUUCGGAAUCACUGGGCGUAAAGGGCGCGUAGGCGGCUUGAUAAGUCGGGGGUGAAAGCCUGUGGCUCAACCACAGAAUUGCCUUCGAUACUGUCUGGCUUGAGACCGGAAGAGGUAAGUGGAACUGCGAGUGUAGAGGUGAAAUUCGUAGAUAUUCGCAAGAACACCAGUGGCGAAGGCGGCUUACUGGUCCGGUUCUGACGCUGAGGCGCGAAAGCGUGGGGAG